rnacentral:lncRNA from 1 species
AAAAAAAAAAUUUUGUUUCUGUAAUUUCUUAUUUUUGUUUCUCAAGGCAAGCAUAAAACCAGAUUUAUAGUAAGACAGAAGGUCUUUGCAAUUAUUCCCCAGACAGGCUCUAAAAUUAAAAUAUUUACCAUAUUUAAGUAAAGUAUACCCUUAAUUCAUUCUCCCCUGUUAUAAAACCUCUCCAUUGCCAAAAUACAUCAGAAAUGACAAGACUCUAAAACAUUUAAUAGAAGAAAAAAAAAAAAGUUGUACUGCUGCUAUCCUAUGGAAAAGCAAUUUUGUAAGGUAGUAAAAACUUUAUUUUUUCUAUACAGAGAGUAGCAAUAAGGGACAUCUCAAGUUGAACUAAAAUGAUGGGCAUCAAAUAAGUGCUCGCAAAACGUAUGGAGAUACAACCAAGUGGCUGCUUGCGUAUUUGUUUCACCAAGACUGAAGCAGCUAAUGGGGAAAUAGGUUUUGUUAGUAUGUGCAUUGUACUUGACUCAAGGAGGUUUAUCUGCUAACAAGUAAGCCAACAGAACUGUUUCCUCAUCUAGUGAUAGAUACUUUAGAAGUUGACUUGCCUUUUGACUUUCCUUUAAACAAGUUGCACAGAUGAUACAUAUUCCUGAAAGGCUCUGUACACUGUAAAAGAAAUAAAAGGGCUCUUUUCACAUCCAGUAUAUUAAUUUGUUUUAUAUAUGAGAGAAGAGAGAUUACUACAGAAAGUAGAGAAAACUAUUUCCUGAUUCAGAUUAGAUGAAUCAAGAACCUUUGGCCUGGAGUAAGGAAGGAGUGUCAGCCCUAGUUUAUCUUGGUGGAGAAUCAAGUAUGGAGAGUGAUCUCCUAACGCCUGAAGUUCUCCUACCCUCUUAGCAGGGGUAAUGGCCAGUGGAAAUUUAAUUUUCCAAAAUAAUUCAGAUGACAACUCCCAGGGAGGAAUAGAAAUAAUCUCUGAUAAAGUGUACCACUAAUGGAUUUAAAAACCAGAUUCAUCAGUUGGAAAAUGACAAGUAAAAAGAUUAAAGGAGAGCCUUGGCAAAACCCAUGUGAAUAAAAUGAAUAGUGAAUUUAAUAGAUGCUUGUAGAAGAUUUUGAUGAUGAUGAUAAAGGUGCCAAGAGACCUAUUUCUUCCAAAUCUUUAGAUUCUGCCUGUAGAUAUUUUUAUUGAAUGUAGAAGAAUAUCAAGAAUGUGUUGGUUUAGACCUGCUGAAAAUAAGGGAUACCUCUAAGUAGCAAAGCUGCUGGGUUGAAUUUGUGGAUGAAUUUCCUGUUCUAUCAUCUCCUCUGAUUGAGGGAAUAUCCAAUAUCACCCUUUUUAUAAAUCCAGGUCUGUGAAUCAAGAGCACCUUGACCAAAAUGGAAAACUGCUUAUUGAGGCUUGCUCUCUUCUUAUUUUCUUCAAAAUUUUGUUGAUCAUAUAGAUUUGAGGAAAAAAAACAGCUGUGUAAUUUUUCAGGAAGCCAUAAGGUCUAUUUCUUGAUAUCGAAAUCUUUCUGGGAGUUUUUGAAAGAGACUAAUUUGAUGAGGUUAUUCCUGUUUUGCUCAGAUGAUUGGCAAAUGUAUUAUCUGUGCCCCUUAUGUGGACUGCAUGAAUCCCCAAAAGAUGACAUUCUGACCAUUUUCAUUAUCUUUCCUGAGAUUAGAACUAGACAAAUAGAUCUUAUGCCUUCUUGACGAUUUAUGUAGGAUAUUCUUGUCCUGUUGUCUUAUUCUACCUGAACCCAAACAUCUUGCGUAGGGUUUAAAAAUUGGAUAGCUUUUAGAACAACCUUUAAAUCUCUAAAGUUUGAUGUCAGGUAUAGCAUGGCAUGUAUUUCGUCGCCGGAACCCACUUCCGGGUUCACGGCGCUCAGCCCCGCCCCUUUUUUCUGACGCGGUCCCUCCACGAUACUUAGGAAGACCGCGCCAGAUUCAAAGGGCUGGAUUAUUCGCACAGGUGCUGCAGAAAGAUCAGCUGCUCUACUUUUGAUCCUACCUGCUCCAUUUCUAGACCUCGGCUAGUAAAACGGAUUUCUACCUUCUCCACUUCUCGACCUCGGCUUGUAAACGGAUUUCUACCUUCUCCACUCCUAGACCUCGGCUUGUAACACUGAAUUCUACCUUCUCCACUCCCAGACCUCGGCUUGUUGAAACGGACUUCUAAUUUCUCCUUCAUUGGGUGAAGUAACCCUUCCAGUGCCAGAACUGCCUUUUAGUUAAGUAAUACUUUUACCAAACAAGCCAAUUUCUAUUAUUUAUGUUACACAGUAUCUAAAGCUCACUAAAGUGUCACUUUGUCUAAUU